rnacentral:rRNA from 1 species
UAUNGCACAAUGGGGGGAAACCCUGAUGCAGNGACGCCGCGUGGAGGAAGAAGGUCUUCGGAUUGUAAACUCCUGUUGUUGAGGAAGAUAAUGACGGUACUCAACAAGGAAGUGACGGCUAACUACGUGCCAGCAGCCGCGGUAAAAGGUAGGUCACAAGCGUUGUCCGGAAUUACUGGGUGUAAAGGGAGCGCAGGCGGGAGAACAAGUUGGAAGUGAAAUCCAUGGGCUCAAACUAUGAACUGCUUUCAAAACUGUUUUUCUUGAGUAGUGCAGAGGUAGGCGGAAUUCCCGGUGUAGCGGUGGAAUGCGUAGAUAUCGGGAGGAACACCAGUGACGAAGGCGGCCUACUGGGCACCAACUGACGCUGAGGCUCGAAAGUGUGGGUAGCAAACAGG